rnacentral:rRNA from 1 species
GCUUAGAGAGGGGUCAAUGUCCUAUCAGCUAGUUGGUAGGGUAAUGGCCUACCAAGGCUAAGACGGGUAGCCGGCCUGAGAGGGUGGUCGGCCACACUGGGACUGAGACACUGCCCAGACUCCUACGGGAGGCUGCAGUCGAGAAUCUUUCGCAAUGCCCGAAAGGGUGACGAAGCGACGCCGCGUGUGGGAAGAAGGCCUUCGGGUUGUAAACCACUGUCGGGAGUUAAGAAAUGUAAGGGUGUUAAUAGCAUCCUUACUUGACUAAGGCUCCGGAGGAAGCCACGGCUAACUCUGUGCCAGCAGCCGCGGUAAUACAGAGGCGGCAAGCGUUGUUCGGAAUUAUUGGGCGUAAAGAGCACGUAGGCGGCUUUGUAAGUCAGUUGUGAAAGCCUUCCGCUUAACGGAAGAACAGCAUCUGAUACUGCAAGGCUAGAGUGCGGAAGGG